AUGUCUCUAAAAAUAAGGAAAAACUACGCUACAAAGAUCAGACUCCUGCACAUGAGACCUCUUUGCAGAGAUACAAAUUAUAUCAAAAUUAUUGGCAGACAGCUUAGGAUUCAAGAGCAAGUACACAAGGAAACAAGGGGUGGUGGAGUGGCGUACAGACCAAAUCAUUCAAAGAAGCACGAAAACCAGCCUCCCUACACAAAUAAAAAGAAACCGAAAGAAAAGGUGGCCUCCAUGACCAAUCGAGGAAGAAAAAGGUCCCAUCUUGUUUAUUGCUUCAAUUAUGGCAGCAGUUUUGCCGUGCAGGCCGAAAUAAUUUCCUCUUGCCCCCCACCAGCUUUUGCUCAACCUGCUUCCCAUAUGCAAUUAUUAAAUAUCUCCCCAUUUUUUUACUAUCAAGGAUUCCCUUCUUUAUAUUAUGAAAGAAAGAGAAAAGAGAGAAAAUAA
rnacentral:rRNA from 1 species